rnacentral:rRNA from 1 species
UACGUAGGGUGCAAGCGUUAAUCGGAAUUACUGGGCGUAAAGCGUGCGCAGGCGGUUCGGAAAGAAAGGUGUGAAAUCCCAGGGCUUAACCUUGGAACUGCACUUUUAACUACCGGGCUAGAGUACGUCAGAGGGGGGUAGAAUUCCACGUGUAGCAGUGAAAUGCGUAGAGAUGUGGAGGAAUACCGAUGGCGAAGGCAGCCCCCUGGGAUGAUACUGACGCUCAUGCACGAAAGCGUGGGGAGCAAAC